AUGGUGAACACAAAACUGGAUAAAGCUGCUCCAAAUCUACAAGCAGCAGCGCCGAGAUGGAGGCCACCGCCGGAGGGCUGGGCCAAAAUUUAUGUUGAUGGUGGUACAAACAAGAUAGGAUCAAAGGGAGCAGCUGCCGUCAUAUGCAGGAAUGAUACAGGGAAGUACCUGGGGUCUUCAGCGAGGGUAUUGAACAAUUGCACCGACCCAGCAACUCUUGAAGCAAUAGCAUGCUGUGAAGCGCUGACUUUGGCGGAGGAUUUAAACAUUCAGAAAGUUAUUAUCGCAUGUGAUGCUUCCACAGUUAUCAAGAACAUCAAUGAAGGUAGUAGAUGCGAGUAUAGUUCGGUUCUUACGGAGAUUAAGGUGCGAUCGAGACAUUUUCUUAAUGUUAAUUUUGUGCACGAGGGUAGAGCAACAAACAUAGAAGCUCACAAUCUUGUGAAAAGUGUUUUAUCACUCGAACAUGGUCGAUUUCUAUGGCUACUCCAGCCAUGGGAUCCCUCUAUUGUACUUCCUGUUAUAGAGCAAUAA
rnacentral:rRNA from 1 species